UUUUUCAGCUCUGACUGGCACUGUGUACCUUCUCUUGGUUCUUUGCGAAGUCUCAUGGGCCCAAAUCUUCUCCUUCCCUUUCCAGCGGCCGGAGACUUGCGAUCUCAACCAGUACUUCGACAUCUCGGCGCUCUCCUGUGCCCCCUGUGGAGCCAACCAGCGGAGGGACGCACUGGGAACUUCCUGUAUAUGUCUACCAGGAUAUCAUAUGAUUUCUAAUAAUGGAGGACCUUCCAUUAUUUGUAAAAAGUGUCCAGAAAACAUGAAAGGUGUUACCAAAGAUGGCUGGGACUGCAUUUCUUGCCCUAAUGGUUUAACUGCUGAGGGGAAGUGCCACUGUCCCAGUGGCCAUAUAUUAGAGUAUAUAAUACAACACUCACUCCUUUACAUCUUGUCCAGUGGAAAGAAAUGUUAGCGGGUCUUUGUUAUCCCAAGCAACUUGUGAGCUUUGUGAUGGAAAUGAAAACUCGUUUACAAAACCCAAUGCUUU
rnacentral:lncRNA from 1 species